rnacentral:rRNA from 1 species
CACCGGCGGCUCGAGUGGUAACCGCUAUUAUUGGGUCUAAAGGGUCUGUAGCCGGCCGACUAAGUCUCUUGGGAAAUCUGGCAUCUCAAGUGUCAGGCUGCCAGGGGAUACUGGUCGGCUUGGGACCGGGAGAGGUGAGAGGUACCUCGGGGGUAGGGGUGAAAUCUUGUAAUCCUCGAGGGACCACCAGUGGCGAAGGCGUCUCACCAGAACGGAUCCGACGGCAAGGGACGAAAGCUAGGGGCACGAACCGG